ACUUGGUCUCCUCCUCUCUCAAUUUCCCCACCGAGCCAAUCCCCUCCAUCUCGCAUCAGCUAGCCGUCGCGCCCCUGCUGGAUCUUGUGCACGAGGAUUUGCCCGAGCCCUCUCCCCUCGAUCCAUGGCUCCUAUGCCGCGAGGCGCUCGCAGCAAUCAAAGGGGAGCAAUCCUCGCGUCUCCCUCCUGUUCCUAUUCCUCUCUCAUCUUUUUCUCUCAGCCUGAGCUCCUUUUUUUUCUGUGCCUACAGGAGCUCCACGAAGGAACCCGCCAUGGUUGCGGAAUCAUGUGGAACGAGUAGCUCCACCGCUUGCGUUCGCGAGCAGCUCAGCUGGUCCAGAAAAACUGCCCCACCAUGGUGCUCGUGAGGAGCUCGCGCCACCGCUAGGGACGUCUCUCCAGCCUCUCCUCGCCAUGGCUUCGGUCAGAUCUGCAUCGAGGCGACGCCCGCCCCACCUUGCCCGCGCCCCUGCAUCGCGGUGCUUCGCCUGCUGCUGCCUCUUGCUUCGCUGCUCUGCUUCGUCGGCUUCACGCGCGCUGGCCGCGACCACGUCGGUGGAUGGCAGCAACACCACGAGUUGCAGGUACAGGUAAAGGUUACUUGACGCGAGCGCAUU